rnacentral:lncRNA from 1 species
GUUUAGCCGCUGAAUGGUGUUUCAUUCCCAUGCUAAAGUGCGAAACAACGUUGCGAAACAGAAGGCUGCUGGAUGGCUUGCGAAAGCGCGAAAUGUUAAUAUUUCAAUAAAUAAAAAAAGAAAAUUUUAACAGGAAUCGCAGGCUUUUACAUUUCUGACAGAGCCAAACAGUCUCAUGAGUUUUUUCAGGCCAAAUUUUACAUGCUAUGGAACCAUUCAAGGCCCUCAGAGGAGAGCACUGGAGAACAUCCCAGUUAGCCCACGGUUUUACAUUUUUUGGUUUAAACUCAAUUUAAUUCAAUAAAUUAAUUUCAUUUACUUCAAUCGGAUUCUAAACACAUUGUUAUAUUUAAAAUGCUAGUUUUUUAUUCCCCAUUGUGUUUAGUUUCCUAUUAGCCAAUACAAGUUAGCAAUUCAUCGAGAA